rnacentral:rRNA from 1 species
UACAGAGACUGCAAGCGUUAUUCGGGUUCACUGGGGCGUAAAGGGUGCGCAGGCGGUCGGGUGUGUCAGAUGUGAAAUCCCGAGGCUCAACCUCGGAACUGCGUCUGAAACUACUCGACUAGAGUACUGGAGGAGGGUAAACGGAAUUCACGGUGUAGCAGUGAAAGUGCGUAGAGAUGUGGGAGGAACACCGAUGGCGAAGGCAGCCCCCUGGGUCAAGAUUGACGCUCGAUGCACGAAAGCGUGGG